GUGGGUGACUGCAGAAUUAGUCUUCACAGAGGUCGGAGGUAUGGCAACAGAGUCCCUGAAAUCAGGGAGUACAGCAGGGCUUGCCACUGGAAAAAAGGUUUAAUCUGUUUCUGACAUAACUUUGAAGAUGUCCAUAGCAGCUUUUAAGAUAUUCAUAAUUCUUAAAUUUGUAAAGGCCUCAGGUGGAAUCCUGGUCUCUCGUUAACCUCCUGAAAAGCUGGUAGCCAGUGUAGGGUUUUUCCCCUUGUACAACUGGCAUGUUUAUUCAAAAAACUCUGUGAAGACUUUAAAUACUUAAAUGAUAGAAGGAUUCCAGAGGUAUGGGCAUGACUGAAAUCAGACUGGAAAGUUCUAAUGACUCACCACCAUGUAUGCCUCGUACCACUCUUAAGAGGAAUGUUAUCAACUUCUCCAUUGGCAUAUUGCCACCUUCAGACUGUAUUUAAACUGUGCACUUUCUGAGAAGCAUGGCCUUCUGCAAUUUGUAAAGGUUAUCUCUGGCUAUGUGUCAGCUUAUCAAUGAAUAAUGUAAUCAUCCAUUUUAUUCUUGUGUCCUCCUUAAUGUGCCCUGUGAAUGCACCUGGAAACAAGAUGUUACCAGUUUAAUGCUUUUCAUAGUAGUGCUUUUAAAAUAAAUAGUCAAAAUAAACAGCUAUGCUAGAGGC